GUUGAAGAACUUUGGAUAUCAGGAGACACAAACGAUGAAGAUGAUUUUUCUCUUCUAAAAUAACUGUUGGUAAACUACAGACUUCUAUCUGAAGGAAGAGGAGAUAGUUUAUUCAGGGAAAAUGUUUAUAAUGCAGAUUCUGGCAAACUACAUUAUCAUAAGGAUUUAAAAAUUCUUAAACUUUAUAAAAAGUCAUCUCAAGCUGAAUGCAGCUGUACCCUGGCUGAGAAAAUGUCUUCAUUGUCAACUUUCUCAGACUGUAUAGAGAAGUGAUUGAAGUCAAUCACAGGACAGGCUGGGAAGUCAAAGGGAUUAGAGCUCUUCCAUUUCAAAGUAUCAGCUACUCCUGAUCUUUCCCAUUGUCAACUAUACAGUGAAUUUCCGGUACCAGAAGUAGGCUGUAACCUGUGUCAUUUACAGUCUCAUUUUUUCACUGUAGUUGAAUUUUAUUUAAAAAUAAGAAUUACUGUAUUAGAAUAAGGAACUCCUGAAAUGCAUAUAAUUCUAGCUCAGCUUUUUAUUUACAAAAUACCAUGUUGCCAUGAUACAAUUGUUAUCUACUAUGUGAAAAUAUCUUUCUUGAAAUUCCAUAGUUGAAAUUACUUUCCUUUGAUGAUCAUCCACCUUCCAGCUUGCAACCUAGCUAUUCUGUUCUGAAACAGAAAUGAGACAAAAUAUCUGCUGAGCCCCCUUCCCCCCCACAUUGUUUCCAAGAGAAAAUGACCAUGCUCUUCUACUUCUGUGCUGAGAAUAAUUUAAAUUUGUAUUAGAAAUAAUAAAUUCCAAGCUUUGAAACUUUGAUAUAAAAUUUCAGUAGUAACAGAUAUUUCAAAUGCUUUCUGUUUCAGAUUUAUGUUGAAGGUACUUGGGUCCUUUGGGAACAACUUAUAAGUACUAUUGAAUCAUUAGUUUUUCUUUACAGUAGGGAUUAUUAUCUUCACAGCAUUUCUGAGACAACAUUAUAGUGGAAACUUAUAGAACAAAGAAAUAUAGAUUCAGGAGAAUCAACACAAUAUCACCAUUAUAAAUUUUGAAUACUGCAACUGCUACUUCUGCCCACCUGGAGGAGCAGUGCUUUCAAAUGAAGUACAAGAAGUUACCCAAAAGAUAAACUUCU